rnacentral:lncRNA from 1 species
GAAUAUAUCAAAAAUUAAUUUUUAAUUUGUAUGCAAAUACAAAUAGUUUUAUUGAAAUCACUAUCAUUAUGUUAUAUAAUAAUUAAGCCGGUGAUACCGCUUUUGAAACAGACACACAAUAAGCCCAUACUUCAUCUCUUUUCGUUAAAUAUUUGGAUUCGUUUCCGAUUAAACUAGGUCUAUCCGCGAUAUAUUUAACAAGUGUGUCAUGACACUCUUUGCCUUCUUGAACAAGCUCCUUGCAACAAGGAAUGGAUACAACUCCAUCUCCAAAAACUUGAGAAAUGAUCUUGAGCGCACAGUUUGGACUGAUUUUAACAACACAUUGAUCCCAUAACGUUUUUGGCUCAUUUUCUUCUACAGCUAAUGAAGGCACACAUGUAAUCGCCACAACUAGAACAACAAAAGACAACAUAAUAAAAUUAAGCUUCACCAUGGUUGUUAUGUGUUUGAGGAUUUACAGUUUAACUUUUCUCAAGUUAGAGAAAGAAAUAAGUUUUUAAAUUUCUGAUGUUAUUUGAAUAAACGAGGUUUGCCCUAUUUAUAGAUACGAAUAAUCAAUAUUUAACAUAUUUUUUCAACUAAUGAAUUUUGCUUUUGACGUUUUUUUGUUCAUUAACAUGUGUUAAGUUACGUUUUUUGCUGAAGUUAUUAACUGCUUAGGUUUAUAGUUUAUAAAUAAUUAAAUUAGGAUUCUUGUAGUAUAAAAAUGAACAUACUAAGAACUUAUAUAAGUAUUUAAAUUAAAAACUACUGAACAUUUUUUAAUGAAUAUUUUUUAUGUCAGCAACAUAUAAUUUGGUGGUUGUAUAUCAACUUACUAACAAAAACCAAAAGUACACUCUAACAUUUUAUCAAUCUAAAAAUGAUUUAAAGUAUAUAUCAAUAUAUUUCUCUGAGAUUAAAGGAGAGAGUUCCAGAUUUUAUAUAUUCUUUAUUUCAUGAUGUAGGAUGCUUAAGAAUAUAAUUUUAUCCUUUUAAUUGUAUAAAGUUUUAUAUUGAGAUGGUUAUUAGGUAAAACAUGACUCCACUUGGGAAAGUAAUCUACAAAUUUAAAUUCCCUCUACAAGAAACAAAACAUGAAAUCUAUAAAGAAUGAAAUUUAAUAAAAAAGAAAUAAAAAAUGAAACCAAAUUUUUGAAUUUAAACUUGCGGUAUCAUAAUUUAUCAAUUUCUAACUUACAUAAUAGUUUAAUUACUAUAUAUCUUUCAAGGAAAUUAAUGUGUUUCAUAAUAAAAAUAUAAACAGUAUAUAUAUAUACUUACAUAAAACUAACGAAAUGUUAUUUUUAUUCUUGAAUGAAUUUUUUUAAUUGAGUUGAGUCCUUUUAAAAAUGUUUCAUGCCACAGUUUUGAGGUGCGACUCCGUUUGUAUUAGAUUAAUUUUUUUUAAUCAUUCUAAAGAUUUUAUUUUCUAUCAAUUUCAUCAAAAUAUAUGUAAUAACUCCAAAAUUUAAACCUGAAAACAUAUGUGAUGGUUCAAAGAAAAUGGUAUAUAGAUUGUGCGACCACGUGCAAUAUAAUAAGUAUGCUGCGGUCUUGUGGAUUCAAGAAAUGCUAUAUUUUUAAGAUUGCAAAUCAGUGUUUAUUUUGAUAUUUCGUCUUUUUAAUUCAUAAAAACUGUGAGUAUUAAUUUUUUUUUAAGUAUUAAUAUCUUUAAUCUGGGACUAGACCUUUUUAUUUUGCAUCUAAAACUCAGAAAAGGGAAUAUAUAAAGUAAUACAAAAGAAAAUAAGUAACACAAAACGAUAAAUAUAAAUCUCACAUAAAUAAAUUAAAAAAUAUUUUUUAUUUUGUAUGCAAAUACAAAUAGUUUUAUUAAAAUCACAUAUCAUUAUGUUAAAUAAUAAUUAAGCCGGUGAUACCGCUUUUGAAACAAACACACAAUAAGCCCAUACUUCAUCUCUUUUCUUUAAAUAUUUGGAUUCGUUUCCGAUUAAACUAGGUCUAUCCGCGAUAUAUUUGACAAGUGUGUCAUGACACUCUUUGCCUUCUUGAACAAGCUCCUUGCAACAAGGAAUGGAUACAACUCCAUCUCCAAAAAUUUGAGAAAUGAUCUUGAGCGCACAGUUUGGACUGAUUUUAACAACACAUUGAUCCCAUAACUUUUUUGGCUCAUUUUCUUCUACAGCUAAUGAAGGCACACAUGUAAGCGCCACAAUUAGAACAACAAAAGACAACAUAAUAAAAUUAAGCUUCACCAUGGUUGUUAUGUGUUUGAGGAUUUCCAGUUUAACUUUUCUCAAGUUAGAGAAAGAAAUAAGUUUUUAAAUUUCUGAUGUUAUUUGAAUAAACGAAGUUUGCCCUAUUUAUAGAUACGAAUAAUCAAUAUUUAACAUUUAUUUUCGAGUAAUGAAUUUUGCUUUUGAUGUUUUUUUGUUCAUUAACAUGUGUUAAGUUACGUUUUAUGCUGAAGUUAUAAACUGCUUAGGUUUAUAGUUUAUAAAUAAUUAAAUUAGGAUUCUUGUAGUAUAAAAAUGAACAUACUAAGAACUUAUAUAAGUAUUUAAUUUAAAAACUACUGAACAUUAUUUAAUGAAUAUUUUUUAUGUCAGCAACAUAUAAUUUGGUGGUUGUAUAUCAACUUACUAACAAAACCCAAAAGUACACUCUAACAUUUAAUCAAUCUAUAAAUGAUUUAAAGUAUAUAUCAAUAUAUUUCUCUCUGAGAUUAAAAGAGAGAGUUUCAGAUUUUAUAUAUUCUUUAUUUCAUGAUGUAGGAUGCUAAAGAAUAUAUUUUUAUCCUUUUAAUUGUAUAAAGUUGUAUAUCGAGAUGGUUAUUAGGUAAAACAUGACUCCACUUGGGAAAAUAAUCUACAAAUUUAAAUUCCCUCUACAAGAAACAAAAUAUGAAAUCUAUAAAGAAUGAAAUUUGAUAAAAAAGAAAUAGAAAAUGUGUGUUAAAAAAAAUAAAAAUGAAAACAAAUUUUCGAAUUUAAGCUUGCGAUAUCAGGUUUUAUCAAUUUAUAACUUACAUAAUAGUUUAAUUACAAUAUAUUUUUCAAGGAAAUUGAUGUCGUUCAUAUUAAAAAUAAUAUAAAUAGUAUAUAUAUACUUACAUAAAAUUAACAAAAUGUUUGUAUUUGGUUAAUUUUUCUUAAUCAUUCUAAAGAUUUUAUUUUCUAUCAAUUUCAUCAAAAUAUAUGUAAUAACUCCAAAAUUUAAAUCUGAAAACAUAUGUGAUGGUUCAAAGAAAAUGGUAUAUAGAUUGUGCGACCACGUAGAAUAUAAUAAGUAUGUUGCGGUCUUGUGGAUUCGGGAAAUGAUAGAUUUUAAGAUUACAAAUCAGUGUUUAUUUUGAUAUUUUGUCUUUUGAAUUCAUAAAAAAAGUGAGUAUUUAAAGAUUUUUAAGUAUUAAUUAUUUUAAUCUGGGACUAGACCUUUUUAUUUUGCAUCUAAAACUCAGAAAAGGGAAUAAAGUAAUGCAAAAGAAAAUAAGUAACACAAAACAAUAAAUAUAAAUCUCACAUGAAUAUAUCAAAAAUUAAUUUUUAAUUUGUAUGCAAAUACAAAUAGUUUUAUUGAAAUCACAUAUCAUUAUGUUAAAUAAUAAUUAAGCCGGUGAUACCGCUUUUGAAACAGACACACAAUAAGCCCAUACUUCAUCUCUUUUCUUUAAAUAUUUGGAUUCGUUUCCGAUUAAACUAGGUCUAUCCGCGAUAUAUUUAACAAGUGUGUCAUGACACUCUUUGCCUUCUUGAACAAGCUCCUUGCAACAAGGAAUUGAUACAACUCCAUCUCCAAAAACUUGAGAAAUGAUCUUGAGCGCACAGUUUGGACUGAUUUUAACAACACAUUGAUCCCAUAACUUUUUUAGCUCAUUUUCUUCUACACCAAAUGAAGGCACACAUAUAAUCGCCACAACUAGAACAACAAAAGACAACAUAAUAAAAUUAAGCUUCGCCAUGGUUGUUAUGUGUUUGAGGAUUUACAGUUUAACUUUUCUCAAGUUAGAGA